GACGAACGCUGGCGGCGUGGAUUAGGCAUGCAAGUCGAACGGUAUCAUCCUUUCGGGGGUGAGAGAGUGGCGAACUGGUGAGUAACACGUAGGUUAUCUACCCUCAAGACGGGGACAACCCAGGGAAACUUGGGCUAAUACCGGAUGUGAGCAACUUUUAGUUGUUUGAAAGGUGGCGUAAGCUGUCGCUUGGGGAUGAGCCUGCGUCCUAUUAGUUAGUUGGUGAGGUAACGGCUCACCUAGGCAAUGAUAGGUAGGCGGCCUUAACGGGUGGUCGCCCACACUGGGAUUGAGAUACGGCCCAGACUCCUACGGGAGGCAGCAGUCGAGAAUAGUCUACAAUGGCCGAAAGGCUGAUAGUGCGACGCCGCGUGAACGAAGAAGCCCUUCGGGGUGUAAAGUUCUUUUAUAUGUGAGCAGUGCUUUCUAUGUGAACAGCAUGGGGAGAGAGAUAUUAGCAUAUGAAUAAGCAACGGCUAACUCCGUGCCAGCAGCCGCGGUAAAACG
rnacentral:rRNA from 1 species